rnacentral:lncRNA from 1 species
GCCUGUUUUACUUUGAAUUGAAUGUUUCGUUUCCCACAAUACCUCUGACUGAUGCUACAUUAAGGCCACAAGUGACAUUAUAAUGGCUGUCUAGCAUUUAUUGAGUGGCUUGCGCAGGCACCCGCUGGCACCACCAUUGGGCAUGUUGUUGAGACUACCCCAAGCUUAGCCAUGGGCUCCCUAGAGCACACACAACAUUCUUCUGCAGUUAGAGAAAAUGCCAGAAGAUUGGGAACAGAUGGCAAGCUCUAGGAAAUGCCUGGCUGCUAAUACUUAUUUUCUCACUGAACAACUGUAACUAAGUUCUAAAGGACCUCCAGAAGUUCCUGGAACACAGCUCAGAAACCUCUGAUCUAAUCACUGUCACUGGCAGCAUGCCUCUGAAUCGCAAUUGUUGGAAACCACAGGAGGGGAGUGUGCUCUUGUGCUCAUGUCCUGCUUUCAGAUUCCCCACAGGCAUCUGGUUAGCCACUGUGAGAACAGAAUGCUGGACUAGAUGGGUCACUGACCUGAUCCAGGUACAGGACUUCUGUUCUGUUCUUAGUGGUUUCUCAUUUUUGCCCAGUAAGUGGAGCUGCCUGUGUACAUAAAGGGUGAAAUAGUUCUAGGUAGUUGCUGGGGUUGUUCAUCAGCUCCCUAUUCCCCCACUAUCAGGUUCUUAUGUAAAAUUAAUUAUAAACCAUUGCCAAACACAAGGCUGGCCUGAGGCAAAGGACAAGGAAGUACCACCCCCACCAUCCCAUUCAGUGCAGAAGCUGACUGCACUGGCAGAUGAAUCUUACUGAAAUACUGACAACAAUGUGAUAUUGCUCUCCACCACACCUGAGGGCAGCAGGUUGGUUUAAGAGGUGCCUGAGAGACCUGUGGCUCACAACAGUAAUUGCCAGGGGGAUCCAAGGUGCACCAUCUCCUGAAUGAGGCAAUUGCCUUACUCUGCCUAAUGGUAAGGCAAGCCCUAUAACCAGUGUCGGAGGCAACAUGUCUCUGAUUGCCAGUUUCUGGGGAUCAAGAGUGGAGAGGGUGCCGUUGUGCUCUGUUGUGUUGUGGCUUCCCAGUGGAACAUCUGGUUGUCUUCUGUGAGAACAGGAGGCUGGACCAGAUGGGCCUUUGGCCUAAUAUAGCAGGGCUUUUGGCCUAAUAUAGCAGGGUUCAAACAACAGUCUGCCAUCUCCUCCUCCCUCUUUUAAAAUUUGUUUAAAUUUUCCACACAGAAUUCUGUACGACAAGGCUACUGCACUGAUUCUGCUGCAAAAAGUCACUGCUAAAUUUCCCUUGGAGGAGGUGUGCCUUUGAACCAGGGAUUAACUGGAAUCAUUCAAAGGAUGCUGUAAUCCAAAAUCAAGUCCAUUUAUAUUCUCAGACAUAGCCUCAGACAUCUGUCAGGGAUUCUUUAACUGAUUCAUUGCAGGGGGUUGGACUAUCAGGCAUGGCCAAACUUGGCCCUCCAGCUGUUUUGGGACUACAACUCCUAUCAUCCCUAGCUAACAGGACCAGUGGUCAGGGAUGAUGGGAAUUGUAGUUCCAAAACAGCUGGAAGGCCAAGUUUGGCCAUGCCUGGACUAGAUUAAACCUUGGGAUUGGAAUCUACAGGAUUGGGGAUAAGGGACAGUCUAAGUCUGCUAUGCUACUGAUAGUUAUGCCUUGUAUAUUUAACCCACCCUGGGAACAAAACUGACUGAAGGGUGUGCUGGAAACAGAACAGUAGAAUUGACUCCCUUGGAAGGUGGUGGGCUCUCCUUCCAUGGAGGUUUUUAAGCAGAGGUCGGAUGGCCAUCUAUCAUGGAUGAGAUUCCUGCAUUGCAAGGGUUGGACAAGAUGGCCUUCCCGUCCCUCCCAGCUCUACAAUUCUAUGAACUCUCUGAAGGAUGGGCUAGAAAUUGAAAUAAUAGAUACUGAAAUGCUUAAGACUAGUGGUUGUUUUGCAGGUGUAUUAUGCAGCAGAUUGGGUGCAAUAAUAGUGCAUUAGUGAUGGAUUUAUGCUGGGCCAUUCACACACCAUUCUACUUUGUAAGUUGUUUUGUGAUGCUUCCCCAAUGUUAUUGCCAUCUGGAAGGGUGCUAUAACAAAAAUGGAACACAUACACACCCUGCAACAUUUGUGGUAUAAAAAGGAUUUCAGCAGGAAGGAUUUCAGCAGUAAGUUACAGGACAUGCACUGACUGGAAACAAAAUAGUAUGUUCACCCCAAAGCUUUUGCAGGCACAAACAGUAUUGGAAGCAGGACUGGGUAUCUUUGCCCCAAUACCAUCAUGAGCACAAAUCGUCAUAAAUGCACAAUGAAAAGGACAUCUGGAGUGUCUCUAUAUACAAACAGACAGACAGACAUACUGAUUCACCAACUUAAAUAAUUUCCCCUAAUGCUGCCAUUAACUGCAGAGGGGGAGGGAUUUUCCUUUGUUUGGGAGAUUCAUAUUUAGGCCAUGGCGUUGGGGAAAAGGAUUCUAUCCCCACUCCUGCCCCAUUACAACCCUGAUCCAGAUCCCACAACCUCAACGUGGAAUGCUCCCAUCCCAUAAAGUUUGGCUCUUAGGACAUUCAUCUCUGCUUUUGUUUUACAGUGACCCAAAAUCGGUUGUAAAUAUUUAAAAUUAAAUCUGUUAAGACUUGGCACGUUUCCGUGAGAGUGCAGCUAGAAGUGUGAGAUGACCAUCUGCCCUAAAGCUAUUUGAGCGCCUAACAUCUGUAUAUAUGCUGAAAGGACAUAUGUAAGAAACUGGAGCUCUAUACUUAAAAGUUUUUUUGUUAAAAAGGCACACCCAGAGAAGUUUUGCUCACCAUGCAGCUGUCACAAUUUGCUUUCUGUUUUAACACACAUGCACACACCAGCUGCAGAUGUCUAACGUUCAGCCAUCUUUCAAAAGGAAAAUUCAACAAGAGGGUGGCAUUAACACCUAGGAUUUAGAACUCUGGAUGGUUUCUUAUCUUCCGGUGAGACUCUUGCUUAGCAAGUUUGGCUACCACAUUUCAUUUCAGGACCUCUUUCUAUGUAUCUCUAGAGUUUCCCCAAGUUCUAGCAUCUUCUCUUGGCUUGCCACUGCAGCUUAAAGCCCUAAAUCUUCCCUCUUUUUUCAUUUUCUUUCCAUACCAGUUCCUCAGUCCUUGAUGAGGUAAGAGAACCUCCUUCUUUCAUUCCCUUCCUGCAGUCUAUACCUCUUUCCUCCUCCUUAGCAAAAUCCUUUCUUGGGGUUUACUUGUUCUCUUCACAUCCAUCUCAGCUGUCCUCUCCACCAUAUUCUCCCUGAUAGGAUAUAGCUAUAAAGCCUCCAGAUCUUGCAUUUUCUGCGGUUGCUUUGCAUGCAUGGCGACAUCCAUAAGAGAAUUUCCCUCAUGUACCCUCAGCCUGGAUGCUUCCACAUCCUGUCAAACCAACUGGGGUAUCACACAAAAAGAGCCCACAGCUGCCACACAACUUGUAUACAGCAAAAACUGCAUCACUGAAAUGUUUUAAAAGAGAAAAAGUGUUGACAACUAUUUAUCAGAUUGGCAUUGCCAAACCUCACGGUCUUUAUUUUGACCAUUUGAGUUGGUUGGGGGCAAAGCAGAUAUGCUUUCAAAAAAAAGCAGUGAGUCCACCUCUGUGCAGAAACAAGAAGCUCAGAUGACUAAAUUAACAAAAUUGGUGCUCCUAGUUCAGGACAAAUGAAACAUCUCUUUACAAGAUACCCAGUUCAUUUAUGGAAUUCACAGUUGUUACCCAUGGUGACAGCCAGCAGUUUAGAUGGCUUUAAAAGAGGACUAGACAAAAUCAUCAGUAGAAUAGGAUUGCUGGUGGCUAUUAGCCAUGUGGGGUAUAUGGAACCCCUAUGGUUCAGAGGCAGUAUGCAACUGAAUGCCAGCUACUCAGAGACAACAGUGAGAGAGGGCUGUAGCCUUCAUGCCCAGCUAAUUGGCUUCCAAAAGGCAUAUGAUUGGAUAGUGUAGGAAACAAGAUACUAGAGUGGGUGAAACUGUAGUCUUAUCCAGCAGAGCUCGUUUUCAUUUCCCUCCUGCUGCCAAACUUGGAACCUGGCUCAGACCAUGUUCUGCCUGUUUUGACUGACUGUACAAUUUUGUGGGGGUGAGGAGAGGGCAAAUUAGGUAGGUCUGCAUUAAAAUGUGAACCAAUUUUCUCCCCCAUUCAUAUUCACAAGUAACCACAAAACAGGUCAUAUUCUAAAGCAGAAAUAAUUUGUUAGACAAUUUCUCAUUUAAACUGCAAAUCACUUUCAGAAUAAAAAUUUGCUCGUGCUACACCGGAUUUUUUUAUUGAUAAGAAAUACAUUGG